CCGCGGUAAUACAGAGGGUGCAAGCGUUAAUCGGAAUUACUGGGCGUAAAGCGCGCGUAGGCGGUUGUGUAAGUUGGAUGUGAAAUCCCCGGGCUUAACCUGGGCACUGCAUUCAAAACUGCACGGCUAGAGUAUUGGAGAGGAAGGUAGAAUUCCAGGUGUAGCGGUGAAAUGCGUAGAGAUCUGGAGGAAUACCGAUGGCGAAGGCAGCCUUCUGGCCAAAUACUGACGCUGAGGUGCGAAAGCAUGG
rnacentral:rRNA from 1 species